CAAGGCCACCCUUGAACAACCUACGCACCUGACAGAAGGGUGUACUGCACACUGGGGCACAGCCUAUCUGCAAGUUGGUGGACAGUUAGCAGACCGCUAAUACAACUCAGCCAGGAGCGAGUGGAACGAGGUGGGCAGGCAGGCUCCGGGCUGACCACAAAACCGGGCACUGCAGGAAGAGCCAGUGUUCCUAAGGCAUCGUUUCACUGGGUCCGCGGAGUGGCUUGGCGUCCAGUCUCUGAGAGGAGUGUGGUGUCCAGGAUCACGGUCUUAAUUGAGGGGACUGUGGAAUAUUUUCUGGAUUGGCCGCGUGGUCUUGGAGCAUCAGAGACUAUCAAAUGAGGCGAUGCAGACAGAACUGCUGGACUUCAAAAGACUGGACUGCAAGCUCCGAAGAGCUCCAGGCAUUCAGAGUCUUUGAAUCCCAUUUCCUUAGUGGAAUUCUUUUUUUUUUUUUCCCUGUGUAAGACAAAUGGAGGGGUGGAAGUGUGAAGAACAAUGUGGGGGAGGAAGGCACCUAGGGGCAGUUCUAUGAAGCUGACGAGGUUGGUGGUGGAUGGGAGACACAGCUAGACAAACUAUAAUGGAACAGAAGUUAGGAAAAGGCAAGUGAGACAUCCAAAGUCCCUUAUAAAUGAUGAAUGGCUUUCUGUGGAACGUGGUAGGUAUUAGGGGCUGAAGGGGUUAAAAAGAGGAGCUAGAUGUUGUUCUUCAUUUCAAAACAGCUUAGUAUGAGGUGGCUUACAAAUAUGAAGAACUAUACCUCAUGGUUACGUCAAUAGCCUACAGAUACAUGUUUGGCAACUUCCUCUAAAUUCAGUUUUCACCAUCUUUCAUGUAUGGCAAAACAAAUCACACCAGUGUGCACAAAACCACAUAGUAACGAUAACAAGAGUACGCGUUUCUCUGUGAAGAACUAAGACCCCCCACUCUUCCUGGACAGCAAUGGAGACAGUCUGCAUUGUUUAUUUUGUAGUGUGAUGCCCAAGGCGCUUCUCUCACCUUUAACCUGGCUCCCCUCCUCCCCUGCAUUGGCCAGUGAGUCUAAAUUCCUAAACCAUUCCCAGUACAUUGUCUGGAGCCUGGUAAGUGGGAGGCAGGCUAAUGAAAUGCUAUGCCUGGCAAAGACGAGGAAAACAAUUACCCUGCUUUUUAGGAGUUCCCAGUCUGGUGGAGAAGGCAUACGUGUGAGCAGACAUGUUUACUAUAAGCCCAAUCUGAUUUAUACAACUGGAAAGAACCUCAAGGACUAGAAUUCUUAAAUGUCCCGUGCCAUAUGUCAUUUAAUAGUAACAUCCACUCAUACUCCCAAGCCCUUUAACUUGGCCCAGGCAAUGGCUGCUGUACAUGGAGGGCUCAUCCGGCCACUACAACCCACUAAUUAUAGAAACUAUGAGCAUCUUCUUUUACAUAUGGUAAAGCUAAGGCACAGAGAGAUUAAGAGGCUCAUCCUAGGUCACACAGCUGAUAAGUGAGAGAGGUAGAGUUGAACUGGGGAAGUCUAGCUCCACAUCCAAAGAAACAAAAGGCGUUUGGGGCAUCACUGUAACCUUUGGCUAGUUAGGUUUUGGAGUGCUAUAAUAAAGCAUCAUGACCAGAGCAACUUGGGAAGAAAAAGCUUUAUUUCACCUUCUGGCCUAUGUAAGUCACUGAAGGAAGCCAGAGUAAGGAACUCAGAGCAAGGACCUGGAGGCAGGAACUGCUAUAGAGACAAUGGAGGGGUGUUGCUUAGUGCAUUUCUCCUCAUGGCUUGCUCGACCUGUUUUCUUAUACCACCCAGGACCAACAGCCCAGGGUUGGAACCGCACAAAAUGAGCUGGACUCUCCUAUAUCAAUCAUCAGUCAAGAACAUGUCCCACGGGUCAAUCUGUUGGAGGCACUUUCUCAGCUGAGAUGCCUCCUUCCAAAUGACCUCUGGCUUGUGUUAAGUCAACGUAAAACUAACCAGUAACCUUGUGUUCUCGAUGGCAUUUUUUUUUCAAGACAGGGUUUCUCUGUCGCUCUGGAUCCUGUCCUAGAACUAGCUCUUGUAGACCAGGCUGGCCUUGAACUCACAGAGAUCCACCUGCUUCUGCCCCCCAAGUGCUGGGAUUAACGUCAUACGCCACCACUGUCCUGCUUCGAUGGCAUUUUUAUAACCAGCAUUGAUUGCGUGUUCCUUCCAGCUUAUCUCAUUUAAUUCCCAUUGCAAGUGGAUGCACGUUUCAGAUGCUGAUGGUACAUCAGAGCAGCCCAGUAAAAAUGUCUAAAAUAGCAUAGAGCGGUGGAACACAGCCAGAAUGCCAGCUCGGUUGGCUGAUUCCAAGCUCAAAGCUUUCCUUUGACCCACAUUUCUUCUUACAGAAGCGCUGAGUUGCGAUGGAAUCUCAAUAACUACAGAAUUAGUAUUUCUAUUCCCUUUGCCUAAGAGCAGACAGGCCUAUCACUCUCCUCCAGGAAUGUGUCUGUGUCCACGAUCUUGUGAGCUGGAUCAAAUGGCAUAAAUCAGAUCCCCUACUACAGGAAGGUAGUGAUGAGCAAGGGGCCCUGAAGGGAAAAGGUUACAGACAGACACCUGACAAGAGCCUCUUGCAGUUCCAAAGACCGCAACUGACUGCAGCUAGGGGCUUUAGACCCCCUCGUUCCAUUACUCAAAACACAGGCCUCCCUGUCUUUGUGACUAUCCAAAGAAUCAGAAAGAUUCUGACUGAGCAUGCCCAACUAUCUAACAUAUUUUAAAAACUGCUACAAUUGCUCCAAGGGAAAAAUAAUUUAGGAUAAUUCUUAACUUCAACUGUCCUGGCCAAAGUCUAUGUUAAGAGUGUCAUUAAAAUAACCAUCGUAGCCAGGCAGUGGUAGUGCACUCCUUGAAUCCCAGCACUCAGGAGGCAGAGGCAGGUGGAUCUCUGCGAACCGGAGUCCAGUCUGGUCUACAAAGAGAGUUUCAGGACAGCCAGAGCUGUUACACAGAGAAACCCUGUCUCAAAGAAAACAAAACAAACAAACACAAAAGAUAAUCAUCAUAAAAUCAGGAAAAUAAAAAUAGGUCACUAUGAAGACUAGGGAACCACAGGGAGGAGACAGAGAGGCAGAUGACCCUAUGUACAGCCUUUCUAAGGAGGCUCUGGGGCCACUGCACGGCUCUCAUCCGUCUCCUCGGACUUUGAGAACACUGGCUACAAGUUUAUGCUGUUAUCUACUGAUGGGCAGGGAGUCAUAAAAGCAUUGUCUACCAGUGACUGUUGGGGUUCAGAUCCAGCAAGUUUACAGACUUGACGUUUGAUCUCACUUAUCUUCACUUGUUUUUAUCGCAUUGCUGCAAAAUUAUCUCAAGAGCUGUUUUUUGCCCCCUUUCCUGUCUUAAGCAGUCACUCUGGGUCAAGGUUCCAAUUCUCAUUUCUGGAUGCAUAGGAAGAACACUUAGCUAGGUUGCCACUCACAAUUUCAGUUCAUAGGCAACUGAAGCAAACGCGAAACACUUUCUGUAAGAAUCCAGAGGAAAUGUCAGUAUCUUCUGUCUCAUGGUUUUGCUUUUUUAGGGUUUGAACACCGUGUCCCGUCUGCCAUUCCCACUCUGUAAUAAGGAUACACAAGCCUGAAUGUUGCCCCUGCCAAGUGGAAAAAUCGCUAACCAGCAUCCUAAAUACUCACAUUGCACCUAACUGUACAGGGAAGGGAUGGGCUAGAAACUGGACCUUUGAUUCUUUAAGCAAUGGCUAUACAUCUGCAUAAGAGACAGGCCUUGCUGGAGAACAGGCAGAUGCUGUGGGAAGUAUAUGGUCAGUGGGAAGAGCCAUCGACUGGUAGACAUUAAAACAUUAUUGGAAGAACUGAGACAGGGACGGUCACUGGGGACGCGGGAGGUUUGUGGAGUCAAGAAGAGCAAUGGGACAACAAGAAAGCAUAUGGUGGAACCGGUCUCCAUGGCUGCAGCAGAAAGGUGUGGGGACAGGCUGUGAGAUGUUGCCUCGCAGUCUUCUGAGAAUGAGCAGACCUCUUAGAUCAGCAUGCCCUGGAAAUAGAAUUCCUCUAGCUAGAUUUUCUGGAGAAUCCAGGAUUUCCCCCUACCCCUCACUCCUGCCACCCCUCAUGGGUUCCACUGUUUUCUUCCUAAGGAUUGUUUUGAAGCAAAUCUCUCAGAGCUGUGGCGGUUGGGAAUGGCUUGUCCUCUCUGCUACCUUGAGGUAAUGGCUCUUUCCCCUUCAGCUGAUAAAGCCCUCUCCUGCUGCUUCCUACUGCUGUCUUGUGAGUCACUUCUUUGUCAGUAAUGACUUUGGUGGUUGGCUCACGGUCUUCCUGACAGCACCCUGGGAGAGGCUGGUACCCAAGAUGACUAAUUAAUAACCUUAAUAACCCUUGGCCUUCAGGCCCUUCAUCUUUUCAUUUUCAGUGACCUUAACCUCCACUGCAGCCAUCCACCCUCAAGUCUGCCUUGAGCCUUGUCAUCUAUACCUGCACCACCAUCAAGUCAUCAAACUCAAACAUCCCACAGAUGAAUUCACUGUUUACUUGGCCAAAGCCGCCUCUCCUUCAAGCCCCAUGUCAGCGGAUUCUGAAGCUACCAAUUCACUCCUGGCUCCCUCUCUGGACUACUGAGCUUCUGAUCAUAAACUAGUUUCUGUUGUUUUUGCCUGUUACAUUUCACAAGCAUACUUUCACCCUUUUAUCCCCUCCCCAGACUCUCAUGUAUGGGCCCCCAAGGUCUCUGGCCAGGAUUCUGGAACUCAAGUUUCCUGAGCUGGUUCAUGUCCACUCAACUUCAUUCUCUGCAUCUGUUCGGGAGCAAAUCUCCUUUCUGCUCUUUCUUCCUUUCAUACUAGAGGCCAUUUCUCAGAAUGCUGUUACCUGCCUCCUUGCCCCCUUGCAAGCUUGGUUCCCACUUAUUAUGCUUAUUAUAAUGAGUGUUAAUUGUUAACCUUGACAGAGUUUAGAAUCACCUGGGAACUGGGCCUCCGAACAUGUCUGUGGGGGAGAUUAUCUUGAUUACGGUUUGAAGUGGGAGAACCAACACACUGUGGGUGGCACCAAUCCCUAGGCAAGGGACCUUGGGCUAUAUAAGACUGGAGGAAUUGAGCUGAACAUUAGCUUUCAUGCAUUCAUUUAUCUCUUCUCCUGCAGAUGCAAUAUGGCCAGCUGCUUUGAGCUUCUGAUGUCUUGACCUCCCCACCGUGUUAAAUUAACCUGGAACUGUGAAAUAAAAAAUAAAAACCUUUCUCUAUUAAGUCA